UACGUAGGGGGCGAGCGUUGUCCGGAUUUAUUGGGCGUAAAGAGCGUGUAGGCGGCCAGGUAGGUCUGCUGUGAAAACUCGAGGCUCAACCUCGAGACGUCGGCGGAAACCAUCUGGCUAGAGUCCGGAAGAGGAGAGUGGAAUUCCUGGUGUAGCGGUGAAAUGCGCAGAUAUCAGGAAGAACACCCGUGGCGAAGGCGGCUCUCUGGGACGGUACUGACGCUGAGGCACGAAGGCCAGGGGAGCAAACGGG
rnacentral:rRNA from 1 species